GACGAACGCUGGCGGCGUGCUUAACACAUGCAAGUCGAACGGACAGGCCCUGCUUUUGUGGGGUGCUCGAGUGGCGAACGGGUGAGUAACACGUGAGUAACCUGCCCUUGACUUUGGGGUAACUUCAGGAAACUGGGGCUAAUACCGGAUAUGAGCUCCUGCUGCAUGUUGUGGGUUGGUAAGUUUCGGCGGUUGGGGAUGGACUCGCGGCUUAUGAGCUUGAUGGGGUGGUAGGGGCUUACCAAGGCUUUGACGGGUAGCCGGCCUGAGAGGGUGACCGGCGACAUUGGGACUGAGAUAGGGCCCAGAAUGCUACGGGAGGCAGAAGUGGGGAACAUGGCACAAUGGGGGGACGCCUGAUGCAGCAACGCUGGGUGCGGGAUGACGGCUUUCGGGUUGUAAACCGCUUUGGCAUGUGACGAACAGUGCGUGACGGUAAUUGGUAAAGAAGCAACGGCUAACUACGUG
rnacentral:rRNA from 1 species